CCUACGGGUGGCAGCAGUGGGGAAUAUUGGACAAUGGGCGAAAGCCUGAUCCAGCCAUGCCGCGUGUGUGAAGAAGGCCUUCGGGUUGUAAAGCACUUUCAGUGGGGAAGAAAGCCUUGGGGCUAAUACCCUCGAGGAAGGACAUCACCCACAGAAGAAGCACCGGCUAACUCCGUGCCAGCAGCCGCGGUAAUACGGAGGGUGCGAGCGUUAAUCGGAAUUACUGGGCGUAAAGCGCGCGUAGGCGGUCUGAUAAGCCGGUUGUGAAAGCCCCGGGCUCAACCUGGGAACGGCAUCCGGAACUGUCAGGCUAGAGCGCAGGAGAGGAAGGUAGAAUUCCCGGUGUAGCGGUGAAAUGCGUAGAGAUCGGGAGGAAUACCAGUGGCGAAGGCGGCCUUCUGGACUGACACUGACGCUGAGGUGCGAAAGCGUGGGUAGCAAACAGGAUUAGAUACCCCGGUAGUC
rnacentral:rRNA from 1 species